CCCCCUGUAGCUCAGUCGGUAGAGCAGCAGCCUUUUAAGCUGACGGUCGAAGGUUCGAGCCCUUCCGGGGGGA
rnacentral:tRNA from 1 species